rnacentral:rRNA from 1 species
GACGAACGCUGGCGGCGUGCCUAAUACAUGCAAGUUGAGCGCUGAAGGUUGGUACUUGUACCAACUGGAUGAGCAGCGAACGGGUGAGUAACGCGUGGGGAAUCUGCCUUUGAGCGGGGGACAACAUUUGGAAACGAAUGCUAAUACCGCAUAAAAACUUUAAACACAAGUUUUAAGUUUGAAAGAUGCAAUUGCAUCACUCAAAGAUGAUCCCGCGUUGUAUUAGCUAGUUGGUGAGGUAAGGGCUCACCAAGGCGAUGAUACAUAGCCGACCUGAGAGGGUGAUCGGCCACAUUGGGACUGAGACACGGCCCAAACUCCUACGGGAGGCAGCAGUAGGGAAUCUUCGGCAAUAGACGAAAGUCUGACCGAGCAACGCCGCGUGAGUGAAGAAGGUUUUCGGAUCGUAAAACUCGGUUGGUAGAGAAGAACGUUGGUGAGAGUGGAAAGCUCAUCAAGUGACGGUAACUACCCAGAAAGGGACGGCUAACUACGUG